rnacentral:rRNA from 1 species
CCCUACGGGGCGCAGCAGUGGGGAAUAUUGCACAAUGGGGGAAACCCUGAUGCAGCAACGCCGCGUGAAGGAAGACGGUUUUCGGAUUGUAAACUUCUGUUCUUAGUGAAGAAUAAUGACGGUAGCUAAGGAGCAAGCCACGGCUAACUACGUGCCAGCAGCCGCGGUAAUACGUAGGGAGCGAGCGUUGUCCGGAUUUACUGGGUGUAAAGGGUGCGUAGGCGGGUAAGCAAGUCAGAAGUGAAAUCCAUGGGCUUAACCCAUGAACUGCUUUUGAAACUGUU